UAGAGAGGCACCCUAAGAUGUGUGGGGAGGGCCUUCAAAAGCGGCAAUUUCGAAAAAGGAGGGGGCUGGAGAUGACGAAGGCCCCUCUCACACACAUGUAGGCCUCAGAGGGUCCCAGACAUAUAAUAGAGUAAUGGCUUUUCAAACCAAUCGGUACCACGUAGCACCAACUGUUUUUCACUGAAGCAUGACACUCACUACGUGGCCUUGGGCCAGCCACUGUGCCUCAACCUGAGAUAGCUCACAAACGUCUAAGCCACUUGAGGUCAUCCGAGGAUGGACAACAAAGAGACCUUAAGGUUACGGUAUUUCAUGACGAAGUAUGGGAGAUGAAAUUAAGUACAUUUUCCUGAAGAAUACAGUUAUUGAUGACCGUGACCCCGGCUUUCAAAUUGAUUUGAACCCGCAGCGGAGAGUUCCGCAGAUCCAUCACCAAAAGGAACGGAGCGGGACCGCAGCAGACUAUUAUUAAAAGAUCUUUUUUUCUCACUUUCCCCUUCCCUGAACUAUGUAACAAACCCCCCAAUAAAAGUAGCAUUUAUUUUAA